UUCUUAUCAAGAGUGGCGGAGGGACUGGCCCGACGAAGCCCAGCAACCAGUAUUAUUAUACGGGUGCUAAAUCCUGCAGCAUAAGCUGAAAGAUGAGAG
rnacentral:ncRNA from 1 species